UACGUAGGAGGCGAGCGUUGUCCGGAAUUAUUGGGCGUAAAGGGCUCGUAGGCGGUCCGUCACGUCGGGAGUGAAAACUCGGGGCUCAACCCCGAGCCUGCUUCCGAUACGGGCGGACUAGAGGUAGGUAGGGGAGAACGGAAUUCCUGGUGUAGCGGUGGAAUGCGCAGAUAUCAGGAGGAACACCGGUGGCGAAGGCGGUUCUCUGGGCCUUACCUGACGCUGAGGAGCGAAAGCGUGGGGAGCGAACAGG
rnacentral:rRNA from 1 species